AGGAAGUAGAGGCCGAGGCAAGAAUAUGAUGUCUGGAUAAGGAGCGGUUUCUGGCAGGCUUCUAGGAUGGCAGCACUUUAAGGUACGGGAGUACAUGAAUGAAUUGAAUUGCAUAUUGAAAUGGGACGAGGAAUGGUUGAUAUCAUAUAUGUAAAGAGUUGGAAGUAAUCACAUGAGGCGUUUUUUGGUUGUUUGAUUGUGGAGUUGUAGGAACUCCAAAGUUAAACGUGCUUGGUUCGGGCAAUUUUCA
rnacentral:lncRNA from 1 species